CUACGGGGCGCACCAGUGAGGAAUAUUGGACAAUGGAGGCAACUCUGAUCCAGCCAUGCCGCGUGCAGGAAGACGGCCCUACGGGUUGUAAACUGCUUUUAUACAGGAAGAAACGCCGCUACGUGUAGCGGUUUGACGGUACUGUACGAAUAAGGAUCGGCUAACUCCGUGCCAGCAGCCGCGGUAAUACGGAGGAUCCAAGCGUUAUCCGGAAUCAUUGGGUUUAAAGGGUCCGUAGGCGAUUUUUUAAGUCAGAGGUGAAAUCCUGCAGCUCAACUGUAGCAUUGCCUUUGAUACUGAAAGACUUGAGUUAUUGUGAAGUAGUUAGAAUGUGUAGUGUAGCGGUGAAAUGCAUAGAUAUUACACAGAAUACCGAUUGCGAAGGCAGAUUACUAACAAUAUACUGACGCUGAGGGACGAAAGCGUGGGUAGCGAACAGGAUUAGAUACCCUUGUAGUC
rnacentral:rRNA from 1 species